rnacentral:tRNA from 1 species
CAGAAGGUAGUUUAGUUGAAAAUACCAGCUUUGGGAGUUGGUGAUGAAGGUUUGACUCCUUUCUUUCUGA